UUUAUGGAGAGUUUGAUCCUGGCUCAGGAUGAACGCUGGCGGCGUGCCUAAUACAUGCAAGUCGAGCGAACGGACGAGAAGCUUGCUUCUCUGAUGUUAGCGGCGGACGGGUGAGUAACACGUGGAUAACCUACCUAUAAGACUGGGAUAACUUCGGGAAACCGGAGCUAAUACCGGAUAAUAUUUUGAACCGCAUGGUUCAAAAGUGAAAGGCGGUCUUGCUGUCACUUAUAGAUGGAUCCGCGCUGCAUUAGCUAGUUGGUAAGGUAACGGCUUACCAAGGCAACGAUGCAUAGCCGACCUGAGAGGGUGAUCGGCCACACUGGAACUGAGACACGGUCCAGACUCCUACGGGAGGCAGCAGUAGGGAAUCUUCCGCAAUGGGCGAAAGCCUGACGGAGCAACGCCGCGUGAGUGAUGAAGGUCUUCGGAUCGUAAAACUCUGUUAUUAGGGAAGAACAUAUGUGUAAGUAACUGUGCACAUCUUGACGGUACCUAAUCAGAAAGCCACGGCUAACUACGUGCCAGCAGCCGCGGUAAUACGUAGGUGGCAAGCGUUAUCCGGAAUUAUUGGGCGUAAAGCGCGCGUAGGCGGUUUUUUAAGUCUGAUGUGAAAGCCCACGGCUCAACCGUGGAGGGUCAUUGGAAACUGGAAAACUUGAGUGCAGAAGAGGAAAGUGGAAUUCCAUGUGUAGCGGUGAAAUGCGCAGAGAUAUGGAGGAACACCAGUGGCGAAGGCGACU
rnacentral:rRNA from 1 species